AAGGAUUAAGGCCCUAUGGGUUGUAAACUUCUUUUAGACGGGACAAAACCCCUUUACGUGUAAAGGGUUGAUGGUACUGUCAGAAUAAGCAUCGGCUAACUUCGUGCCAGCAGCCGCGGUAAUACGAAGGAUGCAAGCGUUAUCCGGAAUUAUUGGGUUUAAAGGGUGCGUAGGCGGACUAAUAAGUCAGUGGUGAAAGCCUGCAGCUUAACUGCAGAAUUGCCGUUGAUACUGUUAGUCUUGAGUACAGUUGAGGUAGGCGGAAUGUGUCAUGUAGCGGUGAAAUGCUUAGAUAUGACACAGAACACCGAUUGCGAAGGCAGCUUGCUAAGCUGUAACUGACGCUGAGGCACGAAAGCGUGGGGAGCAAACAGGAUUAGAUACCCUGGUAGUCCACGCCCUAAACGAUGAUAACUCGCUGUUGGCGAUAUACUGUCAGCAGCCAAGCGAAAGCAUUAAGUUAUCCACCUGGGGAGUACGACCGCAAGGUUGAAACUCAAAUGAAUUGACGG
rnacentral:rRNA from 1 species